rnacentral:tRNA from 1 species
GUGUGUGUAAUUUAAAAAAAAUGCCAAGCUGUGACCUUGAUAAUAGGAAACUUUCCCUCACAUAAG